UACGUAGGGGGCAAGCGUUGUCCGGAUGUAUUGGGCGUAAAGAGCGUGUAGGCGGCCUGACAGGUCUGCUGUGAAAACUCGAGGCUCAACCUCGAGAUGUCGGCGGAAACCGUCUGGCUAGAGUCCGGAAGAGGAGAGUGGAAUUCCUGGUGUAGCGGUGAAAUGCGCAGAUAUCAGGAAGAACACCUAUGGCGAAGGCAGCUCUCUGGGACGGUACUGACGCUGAGACGCGAAAGCGUGGGGAGCGAACAGG
rnacentral:rRNA from 1 species